UGGGGAAUAUUGGUCAAUGGGCGAGAGCCUGAACCAGCCAAGUCGCGUGCAGGAAGAAUGUCCUAUGGAUUGUAAACUGCUUUUGCAGGGGAAUAAAGUGAGCCACGUGUGGUUUUUUGUAUGUACUCUGCGAAUAAGGAUCGGCUAACUCCGUGCCAGCAGCCGCGGUAAUACGGAGGAUCCGAGCGUUAUCCGGAUUUAUUGGGUAUAAAGGGUGCGUAGGCGGGAUAAUAAGUCAGUGGUGAAAGUUUGCAGCUUAACUGUAAAAUUGCCGUUAAAACUGUUAUUCUUGAGAGUAGAUAAGGUAGGCGGAAUGUGUUGUGUAGCGGUGAAAUGCAUAGAUAUAACACAGAACCCCGAUUGCGAAGGCAGCUUACCGGGCUACAUCUGACGCUGAUGCACGAAAGCGUGGGGAUCAAACA
rnacentral:rRNA from 1 species